GACGCGGUGAAACAGUAGCGCAAGCGGCUGUGGAGUGUAUAGAAGUGAGAAUGCCGGAAUGAGUAGCGCGAAUGCAGUGAGAAUCUGCAUGGCCGAAAGCCUCAGGUUUCUGGAGGAAGGUUCGUCCGCUCCAGGUUAGUCGGGAGCUAAGGUGAGGCCUAACGGCGUAGCCGAUGCACAGACAGUAGAGAUUCCGUCACCACCAAAAGAGUUAAACACAGGGACACAUAUGAAGUCUCGGAGCCGGGUGUUGGUUCCGGUAGCGAUCGAGGGAAGUUAGUACCGAAGUCUGAGAUGGAAGAUGGCGAGAAAAGCUGUGUGUAUUUCUGCGGUGCCCGUACCGCAAACCGACACAGGUAGGUAGGAAGAAGAUUCUAAGGCCAACGGGAGAAGGGUUGUUAAGGAACUCGGCAAAUUGACCCCGUAACUUCGGGAGAAGGGGUGCUGCAGAGAUGCAGCCGCAGAGAAUCGGCCCAAGCAACUGUUUACCAAAAACACAGGUUUGUGCUAAAUCGAAAGAUGACGUAUACGAGCUGACGCCUGCCCGGUGCUGGAAGGUUAAGAGGAGAUGUGCAAGGAUUGAAUCGAAGCCCCAGUGAACGGCGGCCGUAACUAUAACGGUCCUAAGGUAGCGAAAUUCCUUGUCAGGUAAGUUCUGACCCGCAUGAAAGGCGUAAUGAUUUGGGCACUGUCUCAACAGCCCGCCCGGCGAAAUUGUAGUACCGGUGAAGAUGCCGGUUACCCGCGACAAGACGGAGAGACCCCAUGGAGCUUUACUGUAGCCUAAUAUUGGGUUUCGAUGUUGCAUGCACAGGAUAGAUGGGACUCUGGGAAACCGAUGCUUUGGCGUCGGCGGAGAGGCCGUUGGGAUACCAUCCUUGCGAUAUUGGAAUUCUAACCUGCGCCUUUGAAUCAAGGCGGGGGACAUUGUUAGGUGGGCAGUUUGACUGGGGCGGUCGCCUCCUAAAGAGUAACGGAGGCGUUCAAAGGUUCGCUCAGCUUGAACGGAAAUCAAGCAAAAGAGUGCAAACGCAGAAGCGAGCCUAACUGCGAGACUGACGGGUCGAGCAGUAACGAAAGUUGGAGUUAGUGAUCCGGUGGUAUGUGAGUGGAAAUGCCAUCGCUCAACGGAUAAAAGUUACCCUGGGGAUAACAGGCUGAUCUCCCCCAAGAGUCCACAUCGACGGGGAGGUUUGGCACCUCGAUGUCGGCUCAUCGCAUCCUGGGGCUGUAUUCGGUCCCAAGGGUUUGGCUGUUCGCCAAUUAAAGCGGUACGCGAGCUGGGUUCAGAACGUCGUGAGACAGUUCGGUCCCUAUCUGUCGUGGGCGCAGGAUAUCUGAUGGGAGCUGUUCCUAGUACGAGAGGACCGGAGCGGACGUACCUCUGGCGCACCAGUUGUUCUGCCAAGGGCAUAGCUGGGCAACUAUGUACGGAUCGGAUAAACGCUGAAAGCAUCUAAGCGUGAAGCCGACCCAAAGAUAAGAUAUCCCAUUGUUUCAAACAAGUAAGACCCCUUGAAGACUACAAGGUUGAUAGGCACGAUGUGUAAGUGGAGUGAUCCAUUCAGCAAGCGUGUACUAAUAGGUCGAGGGCUUGACC
rnacentral:rRNA from 1 species